rnacentral:rRNA from 1 species
GACGAACGCUGGCGGCGUGCUUAACACAUGCAAGUCGAACGCUGAACCCGCUUCGGUGGGGGAUGAGUGGCGAACGGGUGAGUAACACGUGGGCAACCUGCCCCCGGCUCUGGGAUAACUCCAAGAAAUUGGGGCUAAUACCGGAUGUGACCGCUGGCCGCAUGGUCUGGUGGUGGAAAGGGUUUCCGGCUGGGGAUGGGCCCGCGGCCUAUCAGCUUGUUGGUGGGGUAGUGGCCUACCAAGGCGACGACGGGCAGCCGGCCUGAGAGGGUGACCGGCCACACUGGGACUGAGACACGGCCCAGACUCCUACGGGAGGCAGCAGUGGGGAAUAUUGCGCAAUGGGCGGAAGCCUGACGCAGCGACGCCGCGUGGGGGAUGACGGCCUUCGGGUUGUAAACCUCUUUCAGCAGGGACGAAGCGCAAGUGACGGUACCUGCAGAAGAAGCACCGGCCAACUACGUG